AACGAACGCUGGCGGCAUGCCUAACACAUGCAAGUCGAACGAGACCUUCGGGUCUAGUGGCGCACGGGUGCGUAACGCGUGGGAACCUGCCCUUAGGUUCGGAAUAACUCCCCGAAAGGGGUGCUAAUACCGGAUAAUGUCUUCGGACCAAAGAUUUAUCGCCUUUGGAUGGGCCCGCGUUGGAUUAGCUAGUUGGUAGGGUAAAAGCCUACCAAGGCGACGAUCCAUAGCUGGUCUGAGAGGAUGAUCAGCCACACUGGGACUGAGACACGGCCCAGACGCCUACGGGAAGCAGCAGGGGGGAAUAUUGGACAAUGGGCGAAAGCCGGAUCCAGCAAUGCCGCGAGAGUGAUGAAGGCAUGAGGGUAGUAAAGCUCUUUUACCCGGGAUGAUAAUGACAGGACCGAGAGAAUAAGCUCCGGCCAACUCCGUG
rnacentral:rRNA from 1 species